rnacentral:lncRNA from 1 species
CAGCUAUCUCCAUUGCUCAUCUCAAAUUAACCCCUGCUGCCAGAGAGAGGGUUCUAGCUUUCAAGAAGCUUGAUCCUAAAAUCAGAAGUUUUCAAGUCACCGUCCAAGAUUCACAAGAAGUAUCCUCCGCAUCUGCCACUAUGUCAAGCGCUGGGAAACCUGCUAAGUCUGCCAAGUCAGCCUCCAAGUUCGGGAUUGAUGAACUUGCCAAUGUCAAGUCUUCGAGAAAGAAAGCUUCUGUAGCCAGUCCCUCUGCUUCGGCUCCUAAAGCACCUGUUAGAGGUAAGGGGAAGAAGAGGAAGACCUCUGAGGAUCUCCAAGGAUUUCCCCUGAUCCGCCAACAGUUCCUCGAUUAUGUCAAUGAGAAACUUGCUGAGAUUGAGACCUACCUUGGCCAUGUCGAGGAUCAGGAGAGCCAAAUCGCCGACCUCCAACAAAUGGGCGUGUUAA